GCAUGCCUAACACAUGCAAGUCGAACGCCCUUUUCGGAGGGAGUGGCGCACGGGUGCGUAACGCGUGGGAACCUGCCCUUAGGUUCGGAAUAACUCAGAGAAAUUUGAGCUAAUACCGGAUAAUGUCUUCGGACCAAAGAUUUAUCGCCUUUGGAUGGGCCCGCGUAGGAUUAGAUAGUUGGUGGGGUAAUGGCCUACCAAGUCGACGAUCCUUAGCUGGUCUGAGAGGAUGAUCAGCCACACUGGGACUGAGACACGGCCCAGACUCCUACGGGAGGCAGCAGUGGGGAAUAUUGGACAAUGGGCGAAAGCCUGAUCCAGCAAUGCCGCGUGAGUGAUGAAGGCCUUAGGGUUGUAAAGCUCCCUUACCAGGGAUGAUAAUGACAGUACCUGGAGAAUAAGCUCCGGCUAACUCCGUGCCAGCAGCCGCGGUAAUAC
rnacentral:rRNA from 1 species